UUUUCUUUUAAUUUUCUUCUCUCUCAGGCAUCGAGUUCUCUCCCCCUAUUUUUCUUCUCUUCCAACCCUAAGCGGUAUCUCCGAAUCAAACUCAAGUUUUCAUAAAUCAAACUCCGUUUCUCCAAAUCUAAACCCUAGAUUUCUACUACAGAUAACUACGGUGUGAAACCCUAUCUUCGUUCCUUUCUUAAUGGUACUACUGGUGAUUUCUGGGAGGGCCUGUUCUUAUACCUGGACUGUGUCUCCCGAAGGCUCUUCAGCCGUUGAUUCAGGGCUUAAUAAGUGGCUCGGCUGAACUAAGAGAACAAGCUGCGCAAGGUCUAGGAGAAUUGAUUGAAGUGACUAGUGAGAAAGCACUUAAAGAGUUCGUGGUCCCAUUACCGGGCCUCUCAUCCGAAUCAUAAGCGAUCGAUUCCCUUGGCAAGUGAAAAGUGCCAUUUUGUCAACCUUGUCGAUCAUAAUAACCAAGGGUGGGAUUGCACUUAAGCCGUUUCUUCCUCAGCUCCAGACAACAUUUAUUAAGUGCCUGCAGGAUAGCGCGAGGACUGUGCGUUCUAGUGCAGCUCUUGCACUUGGAAAGCUUAGUGCUGUUAGUAUAAGGGUUGAUCCUUUGGUGAGAGACUUUCUUUCCAGUUUGCAGUUGUUGGCGUUAUGGGUGGUUGUUGGUGAAAACGCAAAUAGUGAAGUGUGGAGGGGUAGAUAUGGUUCUCUACAAGGCUGUUGUUCUUGAUCAUAUACUUGAAGUACUUUGAAAAAUUUCUUUGUUGCCAAUGCAGCGACAAAGAAGGAUACUGGGCGUACGAAAGCUAACACUUGAAGCAGAUGAAGAUAGAGUUGGGUCAAUCAAUGGAAAUGGAAACCAUACAUGGAGAAUUUUUGGUGAGUUGGCUGCCAUUACCUGUUGUGAACCCACUUGUUAUUAGAUGAAAGCAUGGCAGUCCAAGAACUUUGAGGAGAGAAGACGAAACACAACCCAGGAGACAGAAAAAGUGGGGCACCUGUGGCAUACAUGGACAUAACAAGACUACGUGUCAGUGUGGGAAACAACUAAGGCAAUAAGAGAUUUUCAAGUUGCAAGCGCAAUUGGUGGGACUUUUGCAUCCACUAGAGUAAGGAAAGUCAUUGGAGCAUACCCUACAACAUGAACUAAAGGUGAUCUUUGCAGAGGUUCAAUUGGAUCAGCUGCUUGGCUUAAAGAUGAGUUACAACGAGGUAAUUUGUCAUGAUGUUGUGUAUUUGUUGUUCAUUUGCUUGUAUUUUUUUUUUCUUCUAGUUAGUUUAUCUCAUCUGACUUUUUAGGCAUUUAAUGUUUUAAGCAACAAGAGCUCAAUGAAAUCCUAGAUAACCAUAGGAACAGAAAUAAUGUCAUUUCACUUGUAGCAACUUUAGAAGUUAUUGGUUUCAAUGUAGCUAGUGCAAGUUUUUGUAAUACUUUUUUUAAUAGGAAUAUUUUAUACGAGAA